rnacentral:lncRNA from 1 species
CGCAGCCUGAGCCUGCGCGCGACGGCUGCUCCGGGUUCGCGGCCCGGGUCUUAGGAGUUGGCCGCGGCGUCCAGGACCCCGGCCCGGCAGCGCCUUGUCCUCGUCCUUGCUUGCGGGGCCUGCGGUGGUCCUGGUGGGGCAUCCUCUGGGCCAUUUCCCUGAAGCGGCCGGGGGGGCGGGGGGUGCAGAAGGCGUCGUGGGCGCCGGCCCCGGCCCGGGAUGACUGCCUCCUCCUCCGGGAAGCCGGCACCGUCACCGCGCUGUGGCUGCCGCAGCUGUUCCUGCUGCUCAGGCCCGGGCACCCGCCUGCUCGCCGUCUGCCUUCUCCGCGCGGCCGAAGCGUAUCAGGAUCGCCUCGUGCUCCUCCAGAGAACUGCCUUAUUUGUCCCCUUUGA